UUCUGCAUGCAUUUUGAAUUUCCAAGCAGCAGGUAAGCUUUUUUCAAUGCAAAGCUCUUUAUGCUUAUUUUAUUCUAUUACACUUUUAUAUAUAAUUGAAUCUACUUUUGGCAUCUCAUCUUUUCUCUUUAUUUGUAAUUGACACAAUAAUUAAUAAUAUUUAUACAGUCUGAUAUUUCCACACAUGUAUAAUGUAAUAAUCAAAUCAGGGUAAUUUACACAGCCAUCAUCUCCAACAUUUAUCAUUUCUUUGUGUUGGGAACACACAAAAUCCUCUCUUCUAGCUAUUUGAAAAUGUAGAAUAAAUACUUGUUAACUAUAGUCACCCUACAGUGAGCACUAGAACUCAUUCCUCCUACCUAGCUGUAAUUUUGUAUUUGUCAACCAUCCUCUCCCUAUCCUCCCUUCCUCCUCCCUGCCCAGGCUCUGGUUACCACUAUUCAACUUUCUAUCUCUAUGAUAUCAAUUUAUUUAGCUUCCACAUACGAGUGAGUACACACAUUACUACUAUUUGUCUUUCUGUGCCUGGUUUAUUUCACUUAACGUAACUUCCUCCAGGUUCAUCUGUGUUGCCAAAAAUUAUAAGAUUUCAUUUUUUUAUGGCUGAAUUGUGUUCCAUUGUAUAUAUGUAUAUGUAUGUGUAUAUAUAUAUAUACACACCAUAUUUUCUUUAUCCAUUCAUCUGUUGAUGAGAUUUCUAAGCAGCAGGUAAGCUCUUGUUAUUAAGUCCCACUUUCACUGCUCUGUGGUUAAGAAAUACGGCCUUUCCUUUAUUGAGCUUACCACAGGCCAAGCAUCAUGUUAGGUGAUAAUUAUACUAGGUUGAAUAAAACUUGAGCCCCACAGCGUAACAACAGAAAGCAUAAAUAAAUCUACAUUUACAAUCCCAGAAAUACAAGGAUGGUUCAACGUAUGUAAAUCAAUGUAAUAUACUGUAUCUUCAGAAUGAAGGACAAAAACCAUAUAAUCAUUUCAAUUGAUGCUGAGAAAGCAUUUAAUAAAUUCAACAUCCUUUCAUGAUAAAAACUCUCAAAAAACUGGGAACAUACUCCAACACAAUAGAAGUCAUAUAGGACAGACCCACAGCUAAUAUCAUACUGAAUGAGGAAAAACUGAAAGCCUUUCCCCUAAGAUCUGCAACAAGACAAGGAUGUCCACUGUCACCACUGUUAUUCAACAUAGUACUGGAAGUCCUAGCCAGAGCAGUAAGACAAGAGAAAGAAAUAAAGAGCGUCCAAACUGGAAAGGAAAGAGUCACAUUAUCCUUGUUUACAGAUUAUAUGAUUGUAUAUUUGAAAAAAACUAAGCAGUUCAAGAAACUAUUAGAACUGUUAAACAAAUUCAGUAACAUUGCAGGAUACAAAAUCAACAUACAAAAAUAAGUAGCAUUUCUGUAUGUCAACAGAACAGCUUCAUAAAGAAAUCAAGAAAGCAAUCCCAUUUACAAUAGCUACAAAUCAAAGAAAAUACCACCAGUAACCCGAUUUGCAAUAGCUACAAAUCAAAUAAAAUACCAUCAGAGAAAUGCAAAUCAAAACUGCAAUGAUAUAUCAUCUCACCCCAGUUUAAAUGGGCUUUACCCAAAAGACAGGCAAUAAAAAUGCUGGCAAGGAUGUGGAGAGAAAAUGGAACCCUCAUACACUGUCAGUAGGAAUGUAAAUUAGUACAACCAGUAUGGAGAACAGUAAGGAGCGUCCUCAAAAAUCUAAAAGUAGAACUAUCAUAUGAUCCAGCAAUCCCACUGCCGGGUACAUACCCAAAAGAAAGGAAACCGGUAUAUCGGAGUAAUAUCUGCCCUCCCAUGUUUAUUGAAACAUGGCUAUUCACAAUAUCCAGGAUUUGGAGUCAAUCUAAGUGCCCAUUAGCAGAUGAAUGGAUAAAGAAAAUGUGGUACAUACACACAAUGGAGUACUAUUCAGCCAUGAAAAAGAAUGAGAUCCUGUCAUUUGAAACAACACAGAUGGAACUGGAGGUCAUUAUGUUAAAUGAAAUAAGCCAGGCACGGAAAGACAAACUUUGCACGUUCUCACUCAUUUGUGGGAGCUGAGAGUUAAAACAGUUGAACUCAUGAAGAUAAAAAGUAGAAUGACGGUUACCAGAGGCUGGGAAGGGUGGUGAGGGUGAGGGUGGAUGGGGAAAGUGGGGAUAAUUAAUGCAUACAAAAAUAUAGUUAGAAAGAAUGAAUAAGACCUAAUAUUUGAUAGCGUAACAGGGUGACCACAGUUGACAGUAACUUAUUGUACAUUUGAAAAUAACUAGGCCUGGUGCAGUGGCUCACGCCUGUAAUCCCAGCACUUUGGGAGGCCGAGGUGGACGGAUCACCUGAGCUCAGGAGUUCGAGAUCAGCCUGGCCAACAUGGUGAAACCCUGUCUCUACUAAAAAUACUAAAAUUAGCCGGGCGUGGUGGCAUGUGCCUGUAAUCCCAGCUACUCAGGAGGCUGAGGCAGAAGAAUCUCUGGAAGCCGGGAGGUAAAAGCUGCAGUGAGCCAGGAUUGCGCCAUGCAUUCCUGGGUGACAGAGCGGGAUUCCAUCUUAAAAAAAAAAAAAAAAAAAAAAAAACUAAACUAAAAGAGUAUAAUUGGAAUGUUUGUAACACAAAUAAGUGAUAAAUGCUUGAAGUGAUAGAUACCCACCACCCCCCAAAAAAGUUUGCGAUGUGAUGUGACAUGCAGCGGCAGAGGGAACCCCAGCCCCUAUAUGUUCUUCAACAAAUGUCAUGUAUUUUUCUCUAUUUAGGUUGAUUCCUUUUGUGUUUCUAUUACCUAAACAUUGCUGGACCAAAAAAUAUAGAUAUUUGUUAUUUUUAUUUUUCUUGAAUUAUUACCAUGAAUGAGCAUAUUCACAUUUAUUUAUUGUCCCUUUAAUUUCCAAUUAUUUCUCUUUUGCCUUAUUCUUGGAUGCUUCAAGCCGAUGUUCUAGAAUGGAUCACUGAUUUGACUUUUCAGCACAUGCGUUCUGUUGUCCACCAUCAGCAAUGACAUUCUUUCCUUCCAAGUUUUUGUUUUCAGCCUGUUCCUUUCUCCUAGCAGCACACUCCUGUUUAUUGAGGAAACAUCACUUGAACCACUCCAGCAUUUAUUUAAGACCCAUUAAGAGAGUUCUGCAUCUCCGACAUGCUUUGAUGGGGAGCAAAGCAAAAAUCACCAUUGCCCUGUGUUGCAGGUUAGCGGGCUCAUCUAUUCCUGUAGGGUGCCCUGCUCGGUGCAGGGAGCAGGGAGCAGCCCCACCUCUCCCUCCUGUGGGUUGCUUUCUCCUCCUCUGAUGAGCAUUUGCAGGUUCUUACUGAUUUGCCUGAUGCAGGAGCUUGCUUCCCGGGGGUGCCUGUUAAACUUCAGAUUCCAUGGAAUUGGAGGUACAGAUGCAAACCCAUGAUUUGUAGAAUGUGUAUAUGCACUUUUGUGUGCACAUAUAUGCAUUUAUUUCCUAGUUCUGCCUGCUGACAAGGUCAAGAAGAAAAGCCAUUCUACUAGCUCGCAGAUAUUGGUUCUUAAUACCAUUCCCCAGGGUUUCUCGGAGAAAUGACUAAUUCGAGAGCUGAGGCAGGGUAGGUACAUUGUGAGCCUGGGACAUUUUGUUACUCCAGAAAGUAAGGAAAGAUCAAAAGCUCUUCUGGGGGAAGUGUCAGCAGCUUAAAGGGGCUGCCGGUGGCAAAACCUAGGACUAUUUGAGCACCAAAAUAAUAAAGUAAUGAAAUAUAAACCCUUAAAAAUGGAAAUUUCUGAGUCUAUACCAAUAGUAAAUAGAUUUAUCAAUACGUGGGGGAGAAGGAGGAUCUAUGCUAAUGAGAGAAUUCUGAGAGUCAACCGGUGAAAUGGAGAGAUUGUUAGAGUUGGAAAAUCAUCUUUUGCAACUAUCCUAGUAAAGAUGGGAUCAAUUAAGAAUCAUUCAUGGUUGCUAAAUCUAGGGGAACAUUCUGAUGAGGAACAGAAUGUUUUCAUGGUCUCAAAGUGUCUCCCCACAGACUGCUUAUUAGUUGCAAAGAAGAUCAAAAAACUCCAGUAAUUAUACAGUGAAGAAAUUGGACAACGCCUUGAUCGAGUGAUCAAAAUUAACAUCACCAAGGAAGGACAGAUGGCUGUCUUGUGCCUCCAGAUGUGCUCCUGUGAGAAGGACUCAAUACGCUCUAGGCAGGAUUUUGGCUAAGAAUGAAGAACCAAAAACUAGUCCCAAGGAAACAUCAGACAAAUGCUUUUCUAUUUUUGAAAAAGGUGGGUGUGCUUGGUCGUAUUCUUCUCAAAUGUCAGUGCCAUAAAAGAUCACAAAAGGCUAUGAAAAUGUUGCAGAUUAAAAGAGGCUAAAGAGAUAUGACAGCUAACUGCAACCCCUGCCCCUAGGCUACCUUCUGUACUAGAGGGGAAAAUUACUGAAAAAGGAUAUUAUUGGUUCGACUCAGAAAAUUGGAACGUGAAUGUUAAGAGUAGAUAAAAACGUAUACCAAUAUUAAAUUGACUGAAGUUGAUUAUGUAAGAGAAUAUUCCUGAUCUUAGUAAAAAUAUACUACUUAAGUGUUUAGGUUAGGUAAAGGGCUAUGAUGUAUGUAACUUAACUUCAAGCAGUUCAGAAAAUAGUGUGUGUAUGUGUGUGCAUGUGUGUGCGGAAAGAGACUGAGAAUGAUAAAGCAAAGGAGGUAAAAAUAUUAAUAGGAGAUUAUAGGUAAAAGGCACAUGGUAUUCCUGGUACCAUUGAUUUUAGCAACUUAGCUGUAAGUUAGAAAUGAUUUCCAAAGCAAAAGGCUUUUUAAAAAUUUCUAGGCUGGGCGCGGUGGCUCACACCUGUAAUCCCAGCAUUUUGGGAGGCUAAGGCCGGUGGAUCAUGAGGUCAGCAGUUCGAGACCAGCCUGGCCAACAUGGUGAAACCCCGUCUCUACUAAAAAUACAAAAAUUAGCCGGGCGUGGUGGCAGGUGCCUGUAAUUCCAGCUACUCCAGAGGCUGAGGCAGGAGAAUUGCUUGAACCUGGGAGGCGGAGGUUGCAGUGAGCCGAGAUCAUGUCACUGCACUCAAGCCUGGGUGACAACAUGAGACUCUGUCUCAAAAAAAUAAAAUAAAAUAAAAUAAAAUAAAAUAAAUCUGUUUCCAGGGAUUUUAAAUUUUUAGACCAUGUGCGAGUAUAAUGGUAAAAAAUAAUAAAGUAACACACAAAAAAGAAUCAUAUCUGUAGUGUUAUGUCCAUGAUAUACUGCCAAGUGAAAAAAGCAACUAUUGAUCUGUGUGUAGUGUGAUUCUAUUUUUGUCUUUAAAGUAUCAGUUUGUGUGUGCAGGAAUCAAGCCUGUCAGAAACCUUGAUAAACAGUUAACAGUAUAUAUCUACAGAGGGGAAUUUGUAGGUGAGGAAAUCCCUUUUAACUUUAUAUCUAUCUGAGGGUUUUUUGUAAGCAGAAAAACGUGUGAAAGUCUUUAAACUAGGCAAAAAGGGGCCAGGUGCAGUGGCUCAAGCCUGUAAUCCCAGCACUUUGGGAAGCCAAGGCGGGUGGAUCACUUGAGCCCAGGACUCAACUUUGGCAACAUGGUGAAACCCUGUCUCUACCAAAAACCAGAAAAAUUAGCUGAGCAUGGUGGUGCACGCCUGUAAUCGCAGCUACUCGCGAGGCUGAGAAAACAAAUUAGUCUAAGAUUCCUGUCCUCUGAGAGGCCCAGCCAGUCAGAAACAGAAACAGUCUCUUCCCCAGGGGAUGGUAGUCUGACUUUGGCUAUGCCCUUCCCGCCUGCCACUGGUACAGUGGAUAGGAGGGGACCAGGGGAGCCACUCACCUGAGGUGCAGGAUCCCUGAGGAAGCCUGCAGUGUGUAUGUGCCACAUUUUCUUUAUCCAAAAUAAAAAAAAAUAAAGAAAUGCAAAUAAGUGGUAUUUGGUGGAAUGCACUUGAUUAUUGCCCCGAGGAGAGACCAAUUUUGCAUCUAUUUGUAAAUUUGUUUCAACAUUUGUGAUUGCCUAUGUAAGUGUGGUUUUUUGAAUUCUCCUUUGAAUUGGUUUUGACAACUGACUGGUUCCCUCAUCAAUUAAUGAGUUGAAAAUACUAAAUAUAUGUUCAUUUUAUAUUUGCAUGAGAGCCAAGGUUUACUGUUUUAAAAAUGUAUUCUUUAGCACAAGCAUUUGUUAUUUUUACCACUGAAGGUUAUAUCUAGGAACAUUUUAAAAAAUAAAAGUAGGCCAGGCACAGUGGCUCAUGCCUGUAAUCCCAGCACUUUGGGAGGCCGAUCACCUGAGGUCAGGAGUUCGAGAUCAGCCUGGCCAACACGGUGAAACCCCGUCUCUACUAAAAAUACAAAAAUUAGCCGGGCGUGGUGGCAGGUGCCUGUAAUUCCAACUACUCGAGAGGCUGAGGCAGGAGAAUUGCUUGAACCUGGGAGGCGGAGGUUGCAGUGAGCCGAGGUCAUGUCACUGCACUCAAGCCUCGGUGACAACGUGAGACUCCGUCUCAAAUAAAAUAAAUCUGUUUCCAGGGAUUUUAAAUUUUAGAUCAUGUGCAAGUAUAAUGGUUAAAAAUAACAAAGUAACACACAAAAAAGAAUUAUACCUGUAGUGUUAUGUCCAUGAUAUACUGCCAAGUGAAAAAAGCAACUAUUGAUCUGUGUGUAGUGUGAUUCUAUUUUUGUCUUUAAAGUAUCAGUUUGUGUGUGCAGGAAUCAAGCCUGUCAGAAACCUUGAUAAACAGUUAACAGUAUAUAUCUACAGAGGGGAAUUUGUAGGUGAGGAAAUCCCUUUUAACUUUAUAUCUAUCUGAGGGUUUUUUGUAAGCAGAAAAACGUGUGAAAGUCUUUAAACUAGGCAAAAAGGGGCCAGGUGCAGUGGCUCAAGCCUGUAAUCCCAGCACUUUGGGAAGCCAAGGCGGGUGGAUCACUUGAGCCCAGGACUCAACUUUGGCAACAUGGUGAAACCCUGUCUCUACCAAAAACCAGAAAAAUUAGCUGAGCAUGGUGGUGCACGCCUGUAAUCGCAGCUACUCGCGAGGCUGAGAAAACAAAUUAGUCUAAGAUUCCUGUCCUCUGAGAGGCCCAGCCAGUCAGAAACAGAAACAGUCUCUUCCCCAGGGGAUGGUAGUCUGACUUUGGCCAUGCCCUUCCCGCCUGCCACUGGUACAGUGGAUAGGAGGGGACCAGAGGAGCCACUCACCUGAGGUGCAGGAUCCCUGAGGAAGCCUGCAGUGUAUAUGUGCCACAUUUUCUUUAUCCAAAAUAAAAAAAAAUAAAGAAAUGCAAAUAAGUGGUAUUUGGUGGAAUGCACUUGAUUAUUGCCCCGAGGAGAGACCAAUUUUGCAUCUAUUUGUAAAUUUGUUUCAACAUUUGUGAUUGCCUAUGUAAGUGUGGUUUUUUGAAUUCUCCUUUGAAUUGGUUUUGACAACUGACUGGUUCCCUCAUCAAUUAAUGAGUUAAAAAUACUAAAUAUAUGUUCAUUUUAUAUUUGCAUGAGAGCCACGGUUUACUGUUUUAAAAAUGUAUUCUUUAGCACAAGCGUUUGUUAUUUUUAUCACUGAGGGUCAUAUCUAGGAACGUUUUAAAAAAUAAAAGUAGGCCAGGCACGGUGGCUCAUGACUGUAAUCCCAGCACUUUGGGAGGCCGAGGCAGGCGGAUCACCAGAGGUCAGGAGUUCAAGACCAGCCUGGCCAACAUGGUGAAACCCCGUCUCUACUAAAAAUACAAAAAUUAGCCGGGUGUGGUGGCAGGUGCCUGUAAUUCCAACUACUCGAGAGGCUGAGGCAGGAGAAUUGCUUGAACCUGGGAGGCGGAGGUUGCAGUGAGCCGAGAUGAUGCCACUGCACUCCAGCCUGGGCGACAGAGUGAGACUCCAUCUCAAAAAAAAUUAAUAUAAAUAGAUACAUAAAUAAAGUAUUCCUGAGACGCUCCAGGAUCCCUAAUUUCAAAUUCCAGGGGGUCCCCCUACCUACUGACUCCAUAG